AACGAACGCUGGCGGCAUGCUUAACACAUGCAAGUUGAACGCAGAAUAGAGCUUCGGCUCUAUUGCUGAGUAGCAAACGGGUGAGUAACGCGUGGGAAUCUGCCUUCUUGUGGGGGAUGACUAAGGGAAACUUUAGCUAAUACCGCAUACGCUCUACGGAGGAAAGGCUUCGGCCGCAAAGAAGAGGAGCCCGCGUCAGAUUAGGUAGUGGUGGGGUAAAGCCUACCAAGCCGAUGAUCUGUAGCUGGUCUGAGAGGAUGAUCAGCCACACUGGGACUGAGGCACGGCCCAGACUCCUACGGGAGGCAGCAGUGGGGAAUAUUGGACAAUGGCGGCAAGACCUGAUCCAGCGAUG
rnacentral:rRNA from 1 species